rnacentral:rRNA from 1 species
CAGCCGCCGCGGGAAUACGAAGGGGGCUAGCGUUGUUCGGAUUUACUGGGCGUAAAGCGAACGUAGGCGGACUUUUAAGUCAGGGGUGAAAUCCCGGGGCUCAACCCCGGAACUGCCUUUGAUACUGGAAGUCUUGAGUAUGGUAGAGGUGAGUGGAAUUCCGAGUGUAGAGGUGAAAUUCGUAGAUAUUCGGAGGAACACCAGUGGCGAAGGCGGCUCACUGGACCAUUACUGACGCUGAGGUGCGAAAGCGUGGGGAGCAAACAGGAUUAGAUACCCCCGUAGUCCCUGUCUCUUAUAC